GACAGAGGGUGCAAACGUUGUUCGGAAUUACUGGGCGUAAAGCGCGUGUAGGCGGCGAAGUGUGUCGGAUGUGAAAUCCCACGGCUCAACCGUGGAAGUGCAUUCGAAACUGCUUUGCUUGAGUUUCGGAGAGGAAGGCGGAAUGCUUGGUGUAGAGGUGAAAUUCGUAGAUAUCAAGCAGAACACCUGCGGCGAAGGCGGCCUUCUGGACGAUGACUGACGCUGAGACGCGAAAGCGUGGGGAGCAAACAGG
rnacentral:rRNA from 1 species